UUGCUCCCUGGGAUGAGGCCAGAGAGGCCUCUCAUUCUAGGAACAGGAUGUACUGACUAAUUGAAUCAUCUCACCUGAUUCACCUACACUGCAGCCAGGCCCAAGGUGUGAUACAUUCAAGACCAAUUCACAGGAUCAGAAACCUCUGGCCCACUAAAGGUUUUGAACUACAACCUCUGCUAUUAGGCAUUCUCAUGGUCUAAAGGUCAACACAUCCAGAGGGCUUUAAAGAACAAGGACAGAAUCUUAUUGCAGCUCUCAACUACAGAACAGACUGGUUGAAUCCGAUGCUGAAUGGUUUAUCAGGAUGAUGUAGCCGUCCUUCUUUUCAGCUUACCUUCAUAACUAUCAUUGAAAUAGGCUGACCUAAGUGCUAACAACUAAUGCAAAGUCACCCAAUGAUCCUCAUGACCAAAGGGGUAUCCUCCAUCACAAUCCCACACUCAAACCACGAAAUAUCUUGUUGUCGAAUCAACUUGCCAAAUAGUUUGGUAGACAUGUCCAUGAGGCAGAAGGUCUCAGACUGACCAUUUAUUUCUUCAGGUUUCUGGAUAUAGUAUUUCAGGAAUAAACUCUAGAAGCCCGUAGUAGCUGAGCUCAGUUUGCAGAUCUCA